rnacentral:rRNA from 1 species
AUGAAGCACAACUUGGUCAGUGGUACCAAUCCCUUCGAGCUCCCUCAACCCUUCGCCAACACUUCUUCAGUUUCUCACCACAAGCGUACUAUUGUUCAGGAUAGUGUGUGUGACAUAUGUGGGAACGGGGAGGAAGAUGAAUAUCAUGCUGUUAUAUCAUGCACAAAAAGUAAGGCAUUGAGAUUUGCCAUGAGGAAAGAGUGGAGUCUUCCAGAAGAAAAGGAGUUCUGGUACACUGGAACAGACUGGCUACAAAUCCUACUGGACAAGUAUGAUUCAGAGAUAAGAAAGAAAAUUCUGCUGUUGUUAUGGAGAGCCUGGUUUCUACGAUAUAACUGUAUCUACAGUGAUGGCAAAGAAACCAUUUCGAGAUCGGUGAUGUUCCUUCUGCAUUGUGAGGAGGAAUCAGGAAUCUGUCGAUAUCUGCUGUUGGACAGUGAAACAAGAGUUGUUGGUCCCUGUCUGCAUCUAGACACACCACGACUAGAAAUUAGCCGAACGCCGAGCCAAAUGCCUAGUGGAAAGAGCCGCCUGAAGGUGUUGUAA